CUUCAUGGUUUGGGUAUUGCAUAAUUUCUUCAUUGAACCUUUGCCACAUCUCAUAUAAGGGUUCACCAAUAAGUUGACAAAAAUAUGUGAUUUCAUCUAUUAGUUG
rfam:Capsicum annuum cultivar Zunla-1 chromosome 3, whole genome shotgun sequence